GGAAGGUUGGCAGAGAGGCCGAUUGCGCCUGACUGUAAAUCAGGUAUAUCACGCGCUGGUUCGAAUCCAGCACCUUCCACCA
rnacentral:tRNA from 1 species